AUUUAUAUCUACAGAUCAAAAAGAUAUCUGAUAUGAUCGAGCAGAUCGUUUCUUACUUGUUUUCAGUCUAAUAAAACUGACUUGGGCUGUCAUGCAGGAUUGGAGAUGUCUGACUGAUGGUCUCAAGGACCUCUGAGGAGACAGCGGCUGGCUGGGCAGACUUUGGGCCGUUUUUCCAAUGACAUGCGAUCUCUUGUGCUUUAUUUGGAGGGCCAGCUCAGCACCUAGCAGCAUCACCCAUCACUGCAUUAAUCGCUUCUCUGCUGAAAAUGCUACAUCUGGCCACGAGAGGUCUCCUCCACUGAUCUCUGAAAGGACUGUGUGUGUCCAACAGAAGAAUGCUUCUGGAAGAAAAGACCGAAGCUUGACUCCAGGUCACUAAGAGCAAAUGUAUGCAGAGAAAAUGUGAAUGCACUCACUUUCACAAAAUAAACAAACAAACAAACAAAAAAGAUUUAUCUUA
rnacentral:lncRNA from 1 species